rnacentral:rRNA from 1 species
CCUACGGGAGGCAGCAGUGAGGAAUCUUGCGCAAUGGGCGAAAGCCUGACGCAGCGACGCCGCGUGGAGGAAGACGGCCUUCGGGUUGUAAACUCCUGUCAGAGGUGAAGAAUCCCCGCAAGGGGUUGACGGUAACCUCAAAGGAAGCCCCGGCUAACUACGUGCCAGCAGGCGCGGUAAU